CAUGUCUGCUCUCAGAUUCUUAUCACUUUUUCUCUAAACUUUGUUUCAUUGCACUCUCUACGAUUUGAUAUAUUUUCACAUAACGUUUGUUUGAUGUCCUUAAAUGCAGGCCGCCUGAGGAAUAUUCAUUUUCUUUUCUACCUUGAUAGUGAUACAGCCUUCUCAGUUUCAAGUGAAAUGGUUGAGCAGCUGGAGCUGGCUGACCAGAAUGUUACAUUCAUUGCAGAGUUGAUUGAUUUAUUGUUACUGAACCUGAUACCUGGUUGGAAACCAUGUGUUCGCAUUGACCAUCUAAUUCCCCAAAAAAGCAGACGACAAUCUCCUGGGGACCACGAGAAGGAUGCUUUGUCGCUAGAACGUGUAGACAAUUCUUCAGGGUUGUCCCAGAGGUCUUAUGAAGCUGACAAUCAUUCAAGGUCUUCAGAUGGCCAAGAUUCUACUUCUCUCAAAGAAGGCAUUCAAACAACAGUGCUAGGGCCUGAUUUUAUUAAGCCCGAUGAGAAAAGAUCUCAUAAUGAUUUCAGCUGUCAGGGUAAGGCCACAGCAGAUGAUCAAACUUCUGAGAAAUCAAAUGUUUCUGGAUCCUCCAGUGAGCAGAAUGAAAAGAAAUACUGCUUUAGUUCAGAUAUAUUCCCAGAGCCGGGGACUAUGGACUUCGAUGGACAUGCAUUUGUUGUUAGAACGAGUGAAUCUCCUGCCAGAAUGGGAUUAGGCGAAACCCCAGAUGAAAAGAGCAAUAUCAUGGACAUAUGCUCCAAUGGUGUGGUGGACACUUCGAGUGGUCUCACUAUCUCUUCUCUGUCUGACCUAGAAAUAGACGAAGAAAUCAGAAUGAAGCUGGAAAUGAUUGACCUGCAGUACCAGGAGGAAUUUAAAGCAAUCUCCAAGAGAAGACAUGAUGCCAUCCUGGAUACGAAAAAAUCGAUGAAGAAAAAAACAGAGCCGGUUUAUUAGUUCUUUUCUUUCCUUCUUUUUUUUUUUUUUUGUUUUUUCUUUUCUUUCCUAGCCUUUUCUGUCUUCUAUUUUUCGAUUGUUGCCCUAAAUCCUCCUUUUUCUAGUUCUUUACAGUCUAAAGUCCUCCCUGCAAGUGUAAAAAUUGUGUUAUAGGGGAGAGACAAUCGUAAUAAUCAAAUCACUUUGUUUCCAGAAAUUCUUCUUGAAGUCCAGUCUUCAAAUUUACUUCUCUUUUUUCCCUUAUUUAUUCUUAAUUUUAUAGAAAUGAUAAAGGUAGAAAUUAGAAUGAAAAUAGCCAAAAGAGUAGUGAUAUGGAGCCAUAUUUAUUUAAUUAUUGUUUGACACGUACCCCAUGUUUUAACAUACAAAUUGAUGUGGGGCACAGUGAUUGAUUAGGGAUGGUAAAAAUCUCCACAGGGACGGGGAUCUUUGGGAAUUUUUCCUAUUCAAGGAGGGUAUGGAGACAAUUUUAUACCCAAUUACUUAUUCGGGAAAGGAACGGAAAUAAUUUUUUACCUAAUUUUUUAUUCGGAGAAGGGACGGGGAUGAGGUGGAAUCUCCAUUCCCUACCCAUUUCCCCAUUUUCUCGUAUUAAUUUUUAAUUUUAUUUUUAUUUUUUAAAAUUAUUAAUAAAUUAAUAAUGAAAUUUAAAUUAUAUUAAAUAUUAGUAUAAAUAACAAAUAUCAAAAUAUUUCAGCAGUUAAAAUUAUUAAUAAAUUAAUAAUGAAAUUUAAAUUAUAUUAAAUAUUAGUAUAAAUAACAAAUAUCAAAAUAUUUAUACAAAUCUACUAUAAAAAUUUUGAGCCUACUUAAUUAGUUGUAGUCCUGAAUUACUAUUUGACCAAACCUUAUUCUAAAGGUCUUGUCCCAAAAUUGUUUUAAAUUAUGAGUCAUAUUGCUUAUAUUAUUUUUAUUGUUUUAGAUUUGAAACCUGAUGUUAUCUCUCAAUUUGUCAAAUUUCUCGAGAAAGAACAUGAGGAACAUGAGGUGCAAGAGUAAAUGCUUUUAUUAAAAAUAUUAAUUUCAGUAUCUAUAUCAAUUUCAUUAAUUCUAUUAUUAAUAUAAAAAUAAUUUUUUUAUUAUAAGAUCAAGAUUGACGAAGAUAAUUAUUCUGAUGAUUUGUAUUUGGUAGUGUGAUUUUUGUAAUGAAUUAAUAUUAGUGUAAGAUAUAUUGUCAAACUUUACUUUGGCUUAAAUUUUUAUUUUAAUAUGGUUAAAUCAAGUUUAGAAUUUAAAUUUAAAAAUGUAUCAGUUAUUCGGGGAUUGAAGACUUUUCGGGAAUUCUCUCUUAUUAUUCAGGGAGAGGACGGGGAUCCCAUCAAGCAAUUCUAAUGGGGACAAGGAGGGGACGAGAAUAUAUGUAGAAUAUCGGGGAUGGGUGUGGGGACGUCGGUCCCUUCCCCUCCCCUUCGCAUUGCCAUCCCUAUGAUUGAUUGAUGCAACAUGUAAUGCAACAAAAAUUCAGUGGUUAAAUCGCUAUGAAGCAUGCAAAAACGCAAUCAUAAUAAAAGGUUAAGAUCUAUUAACGAUGGUGAACAAUGAGCACAUGGCCUCCCAUUGCUAAUGCUUCAACCCCUAAUACUGAGAAAGAUUUUCCGAACAGCACGUAAUUUCGCCACAACAUCUAUUAUUUGCAUUCGCCCGGAUGGGGAUUCCGAUGAGCAGAGAACUCCAAUUUUCACUAUAAUAACCAAGCACUCCUCGAUUUUGGCUCCAUAAUUUUCAGGAUUCCUAGAGUUUCUCGCCCUUGCUUUCAGGUCCAACAACAAAGAAGGAUAAACAAUUUCAUUACUUUUCUGGUAGAACAAAUAGGUUCGAUAACAGUUCAAAUUUUGGAAUUAAAAAACUUAAUAUUUUGUUACAUAAGUGAAUAUGUAUCAUGUUAUUAUUGGUGGGCUAUAAAAUAAACAUAAAAUACAAAUAAAAGUAAAUAUAAAUUAUAAAUUAUAAAAUCGAACUAAAUUAAAAUUGGUCGACUAAGUCUAAUUCCGAUUCUAUUCUAUAAUAUUUUGAUUUUUUUUUUUAAGUUUCUGUGAAGUCAAAAUCUUAUCGAAACUAAGUUGAUCAACAUGGUCUGAAUUGAAAAAUGAAUUGAAAUAAUCUGGUGCCAACCCCUACCUAUUAUACUCAUAAGGCCAAAUUAUCCACGUACUUAUGUGUCGUUGAUUUUAAUAAAAGAAAUUAGAGUACAAGGUUCGGCAUAAACUGCCAUAAACUAUCAUCGUUAGUGAUUUUAUAAUAAGUUAGGGAGCUGAAUGUUAUAUAUUUCCAAUAAGAUAAAUUUAAAACGAAACAGAUAAGUAUAAAUAUACGCUGUGUAGAUCAUGUCGAGGUUUCUCUGGUUUUAGAGAGAAAUUGAUUUGCUUUGAACACGGAAUGUGUUGGUCUCUGAUUCAUCAAAACGACACUUGUUUCAUUUUUGUCUCUAUCUCAUUCUCUCUCUUUUAGGAAUCAAAUUCAUUAGGGUUAGGGUUUUCAUUGUUCUCUUGCUAAGGAUAAUAACAUUUUGGUUCGUUUAAUUAGCAGUGAAGCCAAACCAAGCAACCAGGUAUGAACAGAAGAAACCGAAUUCUACAUAUUAAUUUUAUUUAAUUACUAACAAUUACUUUUUAAAAUUUUUUUAUCGAUAUAUGCAAUGCAUUAUCCUUUGUGGCCAUAUGUAUGUUCUUUUAUUAUUUUUAUUUGAUUGUUAUAUUGAAUUCUUUUAGAAGUAAAUUUAGGUUCAGUUGCUGUUUUAAUGAAUUGGGUUCUUUUUAGUUUCUUAAUUAAUUUGCCUGUAUAAUUAGUUUUGGUUUUCUUGGGAUAAAGUAUCAACACCUUCUCUGGCUCUGUGCUGUUGUUCCUUUGGAGUUGCUGAACUUGGGAAUUAGGGCCUUGGUAUUAUGAUUUGGACUUUUCGGGUGUUUGGAUUUCUUUUUUUUAAAAAAAAAAUAAUGGAUUUGUGUUUGAUUGGGGUUUAUUGGGUGUUUGGAUUUGAAUCUUUUUUUGUAUAAUGGGUUUGUAAUCUCUUUCUCUUGAAUGCCUUACUGUCUGUUUUUAUAUGAUAGUUCUCAAAUGAUCUUUCAUUAAAAGAUUUUUAUUUAGUGUCCUAUACUUAAUGGAACCUUGAAGUAGCAACGAUGGUUUCAGUUUUAAUUUGGUUUUUGAAGUCUUGCAGUAAACAAGUUAGAUAUUUCAAUUUCGAUUCAGAUUUAAAAAUUUGGAUAAGUUGUUGCAGAGAGUGGAGCUUUGUUAAUAUGGAAAGUUCAGAAGAUGGUGCGGCAAAAAUGGAGCCUCCUGAUCCUGAUGUACUUGAGACUGAUCCAACUUGUCGAUACAUCCGGGUAAUGUUAUGCUCUUUUUUAUAUUGUUAAUCAAUUUCUUCUAUUUUCCCUGCUUGUUUGCUGGGAAAAUUGGGAGGUGAAAGAAAAUUAGUGUGUUGUUAUCUUUUUUUGUAUGCCUUGUUUUGCUUUUGAGGCAAGAGACUGAAGUUCUAUGAUGUGUCUUUUCUUAUGUUUUUCUGUCAAUCCCCAUCAACAAAACUGAAAUAUAACCCGAUGUGGGUUCUUACAGUACAAAGAAGUGAUUGGAAAAGGGGCUUUUAAGACAGUGUAUCCUUCAUUAUUCUGUUUUUUUCUUCCUUUUUUGUUUCAUUCAGAGAUACUAGUGUUUGUACUUUGUCCUGUGGAUACAUAUGUUUGCAGAAGCUGUUACAGCCGACAUUUUUUUUUCUUUUUUUUUUCUCUGAUAAGAAAAAGGUAAUGUUGGACAAGCUAGUCUGUGACUGGAUGUAACAAAGUUGCAAAUGGAAAUAAAUUCCUUUUUGGUAGUUUGAGCUUAUUUUGUUCAUGGAUCUGUAUGCUUUCCUUAAUUUUAUGAAAUCCUAGCUACAAGGCAUUUGACGAAGUCAACGGACUUGAAGUAGCAUGGUGCCAAGUUCGGAUUGACGAUGUGUUGCAGUCACCAGAAGACUUAGAGAGGCUUUACUCUGAGGUGCAUCUCUUGAAGUCACUGAAGCAUAACAAUAUUAUAAGGUUUUACAAUUCAUGGAUUGAUGACCAGAACAAGACGGUGAAUAUUAUAACUGAGCUCUUCACCUCGGGUAGCCUCAGACAGUACGUUUCCUCUCCUUCUCAUGACUCCCUUAAAAUUCCCCUUUUUUGGUUUUAUAGUGACAUUAGCCCUGUGAUUAGUGGCCCUGAACUGUGAUUUAGGUACCGGAAGAAACACAAGAAGGUUGACAUGAAGGCUGUGAAAGGUUGGGCAAGACAGAUUUUGUCAGGCUUAAUUUACCUUCACAGUCAUGAUCCACCAAUAAUACAUAGGGAUCUGAAGUGUGACAACAUAUUUAUCAAUGGUAACCAAGGAGAAGUGAAAAUUGGAGAUCUAGGGUUGGCCACUAUCAUGGAGCAGGCUAAUGCCAAAAGUGUAAUUGGUAUAUUUAUAUUUUUCUUCUUUAAUAUCUUUGACACUUAUCAGAUGCAACUUCUCCUCUUACAUGCAAUUAUGCCCUGAUUGAUUUGGGGAAAAAUAUUCCAACAGCCCCAGGCAUUAUGGGCUUGAUUCACAUUCUAAUGGUUUUAUUGGAGAUUUUUGUUUUAUAUGCCUUCUAUAUUUACCCAAAUGUCAUUGCUUCUGAGUUGGCUCCUCAUUCUUUCCAAUUGAUCCAUGGAGAUGGUCUUCACAGGAACCCCAGAGUUCAUGGCUCCUGAGUUGUAUGACGAGAAUUACAACGAGUUGGCUGAUAUAUAUUCCUUUGGAAUGUGCAUGCUAGAGAUGGUGACAUUUGAAUACCCCUAUAGUGAAUGCAGAAACUCUGCUCAGAUUUACAAGAAGGUUUCAUCUGUAAGUUAUCUAUGAAUGAUAUUUUGCAUUUUCUUUAGCUUGUAAUGGCUAUUGCCUAUAUGUUGGUCAAUGACCUUUGUUUUAUGACUUUGAAGGGCAUCAAACCUGCUGCCCUUUCUAAAGUGAAGGAUCCAGAAGUAAAGAGCUUUAUUGAGAAGUGUCUAGUCCCUGCAUCUCAAAGGCUCUCAGCAAAGGAGCUUCUGACGGACCCUUUUCUCCAAGUGAAUGGAACAACAAAAAAUCGUCCACUGCCGCUGCCUGACAUUGUUUUGCCCAGAGUGGGAGCCUUUGGAGAUAGGUGUCUAAUGUCAGAAGGACCAGCUGGUGUGCGAAAUAAGCAUCCCUCCAUGGAUUUUGAUAGUGACACAGAACUGCCUGUUAUCACUUUUCUUGAUAACUCUGGUGGUGGGGAUUCCUAUUCUCCGAGCAUUGAGGUUCGAAGAUCUAAGAGAGGGAACUUUUUCUUGUUAAAAGGCGAGAGCAAUGAUGAAUACUCUGUAUCAUUGAUCCUUCGAAUAUCAGAUCAGUCUGGUCAGUACUUUGCCUUUUAAAUGCAUGUCUGCUCUCAGAUUCUUAUCACUUUUUCUCUAAACUUUGUUUCAUUGCACUCUCUACGAUUUGAUAUAUUUUCACAUAACGUUUGUUUGAUGUCCUUAAAUGCAGGCCGCCUGAGGAAUAUUCAUUUUCUUUUCUACCUUGAUAGUGAUACAGCCUUCUCAGUUUCAAGUGAAAUGGUUGAGCAGCUGGAGCUGGCUGACCAGAAUGUUACAUUCAUUGCAGAGUUGAUUGAUUUAUUGUUACUGAACCUGAUACCUGGUUGGAAACCAUGUGUUCGCAUUGACCAUCUAAUUCCCCAAAAAAGCAGACGACAAUCUCCUGGGGACCACGAGAAGGAUGCUUUGUCGCUAGAACGUGUAGACAAUUCUUCAGGGUUGUCCCAGAGGUCUUAUGAAGCUGACAAUCAUUCAAGGUCUUCAGAUGGCCAAGAUUCUACUUCUCUCAAAGAAGGCAUUC
rnacentral:lncRNA from 1 species